rnacentral:rRNA from 1 species
CAGCCGCCACGGUAAUACGAAGGGGGCUAGCGUUGUUCGGAAUUACUGGGCGUAAAGGGCGCGUAGGCGGCCAUUCAAGUUAGAUGUGAAAGCCCUGGGCUCAACCUAGGAAUUGCAUUUGAUACUGUUUGGCUUGAGUUCGGGAGAGGUGAGUGGAAUUCCCAGUGUAGGGGUGAAAUUCGUAGAUAUUGGGAAGAACACCAGUGGCGAAGGCGGCUCACUGGACCGACACUGACGCUGAGGCGCGAAAGCGUGGGGAGCAAAUAGGAUUAGAGACCCCUGUAGUCCCUGUCUCUUAUAC